rnacentral:rRNA from 1 species
UACGUAGGUGGCGAGCGUUGUCCGGAUUUACUGGGCGUAAAGGGAGCGUAGGCGGACUUUUAAGUGAGAUGUGAAAUACUCGGGCUCGACUUGAGUGCUGCAUUUCAAACUGGAAGUCUAGAGUGCAGGAGAGGAGAGUGGAAUUCCUAGUGUAGCGGUGAAAUGCGUAGAGAUUAGGAAGAACACCAGUGGCGAAGGCGAUUCUCUGGACUGUAACUGACGCUGAGGCUCGAAAGCGUGGGGAGCAAACAGG